rnacentral:tRNA from 1 species
GGCCGGUUGGCCCAAUGGCAAGGCGUCUGACUACGAUUCUUUAAGAUCGUGUCAUCAGGAGAUUCUGGGUUCGACCCCCAGGCUGGUCA